AAUGAAUUGCCUGAAUAAAGGAUCACUUUGAUAGAGUGAAUUAUGUAUAAUUACAUUCAUUA
rnacentral:tRNA from 1 species